UACGAAGGUUGCGAGCGUUGUUCGGAAUCACUGGGCUUAAAGCGUAUGUAGGCGGCCCGUCAAGUGCCUUGUGAAAUCCCACGGCUCAACCGUGGAAUUGCUUGGUAUACUGUCGGGCUUGAGGCAGGUAGGGGCGCAUGGAACUCUUGGUGGAGCGGUGGAAUGCGUAGAUAUCAAGAGGAACGCCGGUGGCGAAAGCGGUGCGCUGGGCCUGUCCUGACGCUGAGAUACGAAAGCCAGGGGAG
rnacentral:rRNA from 1 species